rnacentral:rRNA from 1 species
GACGAACGCUGGCGGCGUGCCUAAUACAUGCAAGUCGAGCGCAGGAAACUGACGGAACUCUUCGGAGGGAAGGCAGUGGAAUGAGCGGCGGACGGGUGAGUAACACGUAAGGAACCUGCCUCAAGGAUUGGGAUAACUCCGAGAAAUCGGAGCUAAUACCGGAUAGUUCAACGGACCGCAUGGUCCGCUGAUGAAAGGCGCUUCGGCGUCACCUUGAGAUGGCCUUGCGGUGCAUUAGCUAGUUGGUGGGGUAACGGCCCACCAAGGCGACGAUGCAUAGCCGACCUGGGAGGGUGAUCGGCCACACUGGGACUGAGACACGGCCCAGACUACUACGGGAGGCAGCAGUAGGGAAUCUUCCACAAUGAACGAAAGUCUGAUGGAGCAACGCCGCGUGAGUGAUGAAGGUUUUCGGAUCGUAAAACUCUGUUGUAAGGGAAGAACACGUACGAGAGGAAAUGCUCGUACCUUGACGGUACCUUACGAGAAAGCCACGGCUAACUACGUGCCAGCAGCCGCAGUAA